rnacentral:rRNA from 1 species
UAGGGAAUCUUCGGCAAUGGGGGGAACCCUGACCGAGCAACGCCGCGUGAGUGAAGAAGGUUUUCGGAUCGUAAAGCUCUGUUGUUAAGGAAGAACGAGUGUGAGAAUGGAAAGUUCAUGCUGUGACGGUACUUAACCAGAAAGGGACGGCUAACUACGUGCCAGCAGCCGCGGUAAUACGUAGGUGGCAAGCGUUGUCCGGAUUUAUGGGGCGUAAAGCGAGCGCAGUCGGUCAAUUAAGUCUGAUGUGAAAGCCCCCGGCUCAACCGGGGCGGUUCAUUGGAAACUGGUUGACUUGAGUGCAGAAGAGGAGAGUGAAAUUCCAUGUGUAGCAGUGAAAUGCGUAGAUAUAUGGAGGAACUCCAGUGGCGAAGGCGACUCUCUGGUCUGUAACUGACGCUAAGGCUCGAAAGCGUGGGUAGCAAACAGG